CCCCUCCACAGAGGACAAAUUUACUUUAACUGAGUUAGAAAUUUGGGUUGGGGUGACCUCGGAAUAAAACUUAACCUCCGAGAAAAAUCAAUUAAGACCUACAAGUCAAAAUUAUAUAAUAAUACACUGAUCCGUCAACGACGAUCAACGAAAUAAGUUACCCUAGGGAUAACAGCGCAAUCCUAUUUAAGAGUCCAUAUCGACAAUUAGGGUUUACGACCUCGAUGUUGGAUCAGGACAUCCCAAUGGUGCAGCAGCUAUUAAUGUGUUCGUUUGUUCAACGAUUAAAGUCCUACGUGAUCUGAGUUCA
rnacentral:rRNA from 1 species